rnacentral:rRNA from 1 species
UAGGGAAUCUUCCGCAAUGGACGCAAGUCUGACGGAGCAACGCCGCGUGAGUGAAGAAGGAUUUCGGUUCGUAAAACUCUGUUGUUAGAGAAGAACAGCGCAUAGAGUAACUGUUAUGCGUGUGACGGUAUCUAACCAGAAAGCCACGGCUAACUACGUGCCAGCAGCCGCGGUAAUACGUAGGUGGCAAGCGUUGUCCGGAUUUAUUGGGCGUAAAGCGAGCGCAGGCGGUCAAUUAAGUCUGAUGUGAAAGCCCCCGGCUCAACCGGGGAGGGUCAUUGGCAACUGGUUGACUUGAGUGCAGAAUAGGAGACUGGAAUUCCAUGUGUAGCUGUGAAAUGCGUAGAUAUAUGGAGGACCACCAGUGGCGAAGGCGACUCUCUGGUCUGUAACUUACGCUGAGGUUCGAAAGCGUGGGUAGCAAACAGG